AGUUCGAUCAUGGCUCAGAUUGAACGCCGGCGGGAUGUUUACACAUGCAAGUCGAACGGCAGCACGGACUUCGGUCUGGUGGCGAGCGGCGAACGGGUGAGUAAUGUAUCGGAACGUGCCUAGUAGCGGGGGAUAACUUACGCGAAAGCGUAGCUAAUACCGCAUACGCCCUUCGGGGGAAAGCGGGGACCUUCGGGCCUCGCACUAUUAGAGCGGCUGAUAUCGGAUUAGCUAGUUGGUGGGGUAACGGCUCACCAAGGCGACGAUCCGUAGCUGGUUUUGAGGAGGACGACCAGCCACAUUCGGACUGGAGAUGGCCCAGACUCCUACGGGAGGCAGCAGUGGGAAUUUUGGACAAUGGGGGAAUCCUGAUCCAGCCAUCCCGCGUGUGCGAUGAAGGCCUUCGGGUUGUAAAGCACUUUUGGCAGUGAAAGAAACGGCACGGGAUAAUACCCCAGUAACUGACGGUACCUGCAGAAUAAGCACCGGCUAACUACGUGCCAGCAGCCGCGGUAAUACGUAGGGUGCAAGCGUUAAUCGGAAUUACUGGGCGUAGGCAAAGUGCAGGCGGUUCGAAAUAGAAAUCCCAGAGCUUAACUUGGAACUGCAUUUUUAACUACCGAGCUAGAGUGUCAGAGGAGGUGGAAUUCCGCGUGUGUAGCAGUGAAAUGCGUAGAUAUGCGGAGGAACACCGAUGGCGAAGGCAGCCUCUGGGACAACACUGACGCUCAUGCACGAAAGCGUGGGAGCAAACAGAUUAGAUACCCUGGUAGUCCACGCCCCAAACGAUGUCAACUAGCUAUAGCCUGGCCCAGAAGCAGCUAACGCGUGAAGUUGACCGCCUGGGGAGUACGGUCGCAAGAUUAAACUCAAAGGAAUUGACGGGGACCCGCACAAGCGGUGGAUGAUGUGGACUAAUCUGAUGCAACGCGAAAAAACCUUACCUACUCCUUGACAUGUCUGGAAUCCCGAAGAGAUUUGGGAGUGCUCGCAAGAGAACCGGAACACAGGUGCCGUACGCGGCUGUCGUCAGCUCGUGUCGGGAGAUGGGUUAAGUCCCGCAACGAGCGCAAAGUAACCCUUGUCAUUAUUAUACGAAAGGGCACUCUAUCGGGACUGCCGGUGACAAACCGAGGAAGGUGGGGACGACGUCAAGUCCUUCAUGGCCCUUAUGGGUAGGGCU
rnacentral:misc_RNA from 1 species